rnacentral:rRNA from 1 species
AGUGAACGCUGGCGGUAGGCCUAACACAUGCAAGUCGAACGGCAGCACAGUAAGAGCUUGCUCUUACGGGUGGCGAGUGGCGGACGGGUGAGGAAUACAUCGGAAUCUACUUUUUCGUGGGGGAUAACGUAGGGAAACUUACGCUAAUACCGCAUACGACCUACGGGUGAAGUCAGGGGAUCUUCGGACCUUGCGCGAAUGAAUGAGCCGAGGUCGGAUUAGCCAGUUGGCGGGGUAAAGGCCCACCAAGGCGACGAUCCGUAGCUGGUCUGAGAGGAUGAUCAGCCACACUGGAACUGAGACACGGUCCAGACUCCUACGGGAGGCAGCAGUGGGGAAUAUUGGACAAUGGGCGCAAGCCUGAUCCAGCCAUACCGCGUGGGUGAAGAAGGCCUUCGGGUUGUAAAGCCCUUUGGUUGGGAAAGAAAAGCAGCAGGUUAAUACCCCGCUGUUCUGACGGUACCCAAAGAAUAAGCACCGGCUAACUUCGUG